GGUGCUUUAUUUUGCUUCACACAGCUUUUAUAACAGUAAAAUGAUUCAUAACCACAACGUUGCGAGUGGCAUUUUGCUCGUUCUGCAGAGUGAGGCGCGGUGCCCAGGUCUAAGGGUAAUUUGUGUCCUGUUUGCAGGGAAUCGUAUCAUCUGUCUACUUGGUACCAAUUCCGGUACCUGCAACAGAUUUUGGGGGGCUUGUCUGGGAUCAGCGCCAUCGGAAGGCUGGGAGCUGAUCCAGUGAUAUAAGAAACUUUGGACCAGAGCUGAUGCGGUAGUCCAUUAAAGCUGAAGAGAGAGGAAUGUGGGCGGAGACUAGUGAACUGAAGCAGGGACGGAGUUACUGGACUGUGGAAUCACAUGUGAGGAAAAGGGAAAGAGCUACGAUGACGGACAGUGAGAGGAAGAGCCCACUAACUUCGUCAGGGAAUGAACUCUUUAUAUUGCCAAAAUGGUGGGUCCAAAGGCUGAGCAGCACCAGUUUGCUAGAAGAGGGAGAUCUCAAUGGUUGCUUUGAUCACAGCAGGUCUUUCAUGAACAGUUAGCAUCUUCUUGAGUUAAAAGACAAAGACUUCUCACUGAAAGGCUUCCUCUGACUCGUCCUUCACCAAUUUCCAGUGACAUUUGUUAUAUUUCCAGAUAUUUUUUCACACCAAACGGCUUAAUAAACGCCCUUCGCAUAUUCAAAUAUGCCCAACAGCCAUAAUGAAAACACAGGGAAUUCUCCCGGUUAUGACAGUUUUCUAGAUACAUUGCCUUCCCUCUUAAGGCUGACAAUAGGCUCCAAUCUGACUGCAAAUCUUGUAUUUAUGUAAAUAUUUGUUUGGAAAAUAUGGAUUCCGGUUUGAUUGUGUUCCUUCGUUCUUUUAAAAAUAAAAUUAAAGUCUCAAGUACAAUUGAUAUUGGUGAAACUACAGUACAGUGGAAUUUUUUUUUUAAUUCUCUAGGGACAAGUAGUUUGCAUGCAAAUAACCUUAUUAGCAUAGCUAAAACGCCUUCUCUUAAUGAGGUGAGGGUUUUUUUCUGAGGAGACUAAACAUAUAAGACAAAGAUGAAAAGAAUUUUCGAGCUGCAGGUAAAUGAUUGCACCAUACUGAAUCAUCUGUAUCAAGGGGUUUCAGAUCUUUAACCUCUUUUUUGAGAAAGAACAGUGA